rnacentral:rRNA from 1 species
AUUGAACGCUGGCGGCAGGCCUAACACAUGCAAGUCGAGCGAGCGGCGGACGGGUGAGUAAUGUCUGGGAAACUGCCUGAUGGAGGGGGAUAACUACUGGAAACGGUAGCUAAUACCGCAUACCAUCAGAUGUGCCCAGAUGGGAUUAGCUAGUAGGUGGGGUAACGGCUCACCUAGGCGACGAUCCCUAGCUGGUCUGAGAGGAUGACCAGGCACACGGGAACGGAGAAAAGGGCCAGACUCCCACGGGAGGCAGGAGUGGGGAAUAAUGGACAAUGGGCGCAAGCCUGAUGCAGCCAUGCCGCGGGUGUGAAGGAGGCCUUCGGGUUGGAAAGCAAUUUCAGGGGGGAGGAGUUACCCGGAGAAGAAGCACCGGCUAACUCCGUGCCAGCCGCCGCGGUAAUUC